GCCGUUGUAGCUCAGUUGGUAGAGCAACUGAUUCGUAAUCAGUAGGUCGUGUGUUCGAUUCACAUCAACGGCACCA
rnacentral:tRNA from 2 species